rnacentral:rRNA from 1 species
AACGAACGCUGGCGGCAUGCCUAACACAUGCAAGUCGAACGCGACGUUCGGGUCUUGGGGCGCAGGUGUGCGUAACGCGUGGAAACCUGCCCUUAGGUUCGGUAUCACUCCCCGAAAGGGAUGCUAAUACCAGAUGAUCUAUUCGGGCAAAAGAUUUCUCGCCAUUGGAUGGGCCCGCGUUGGAUUAGCUAGUUGGUAGGGUAAAAGCCUACCAAGGCGACGAUCCAUAGCUGGUCUGAGAGGAUGAUCAGCCACAAUGGGACUGAGACACGGCCCAGACUCCUACGGGAGGCAGCAGUGGGGAAUAUUGGACAAUGGGCGCAAGCCUGAUCCAGCCAUGCCGCGUGAGUGAUGAAGGCCUUAGGGUUGUAAAGCUCUUUUACCCGGGAUGAUAAUGACGGUACCGGGAGAAUAAGCUCCGGCUAACUCCGUG